AGAGUUGAUCCUGGCUUAGGAUGAACGCUAGCUACAGGCUUAACACAUGCAAGUCGAGGGGCAGCAGGACGAUAGCUUGCUAUUGUCGCUGGCGACCGGCGCACGGGUGAGUAACGCGUAUCCAACCUCCCCUUAGUAGAGGAUAGCCCGGCGAAAGUCGGAUUAAUACUCUAUGUUGUAUUUUGAGGACAUCUGACGAAUACCAAAGAUUCAUCGCUAAGGGAUGGGGAUGCGUCUGAUUAGCUUGUUGGCGGGUAACGGCCCACCAAGGCGACGAUCAGUAGGGGUUCUGAGAGGAAGGUCCCCCACAUUGGUACUGAGACACGGACCAAACUCCUACGGGAGGCAGCAGUGAGGAAUAUUGGUCAAUGGGCGAGAGCCUGAACCAGCCAAGUAGCGUGACCAGGAAGACUCGCCCUAGUGGGUUAGUAAACUGUCUUUUAUCGAGGGAAUAAAGUUCGGCACGUGUGCUGUUUUGUAUGUACCUGAUGAAUAAGGACCGGCUAAUUCCGUGCCAGCCGCCGC
rnacentral:rRNA from 1 species